rnacentral:rRNA from 1 species
GAUGGACGCUAGCUACAGGCUUAACACAUGCAAGUCGCGGGGCAGCAUGGGGGUUGCUUGCAACUCCCGAUGGCGACCGGCGCACGGGUGAGUAACGCGUAUCCAACCUGCCCUUCACCACGGGAUAACCCGGCGAAAGUCGGACUAAUACCGUAUGUUGUCCAUUGACGGCAUCCGAUUUGGACGAAAGGCUUUGCGGUGAAGGAUGGGGAUGCGUCCGAUUAGCCAGACGGCGGGGUAACGGCCCACCGUGGCUACGAUCGGUAGGGGUUCUGAGAGGAAGGUCCCCCACACUGGAACUGAGACACGGUCCAGACUCCUACGGGAGGCAGCAGUGAGGAAUAUUGGUCAAUGGGCGUAAGCCUGAACCAGCCAAGUAGCGUGCAGGAUGACGGCCCUAUGGGUUGUAAACUGCUUUUAUGCGGGGAUAAAGUGGCCCACGUGUGGGCUUUUGCAGGUACCGCAUGAAUAAGGACCGGCUAAUUCCGUG